GAGAAAGAGAGGGAGGUGGAGUGGAGUGGCUCUCUACUAAAUUGAAGUUGUCACACUGAAUUCAGAACAUCAUUGAUCAGUGGCUUUAAAACUGAUAUGGCAACAAAAAUAAUCUACUUCAGGGUGAAUGGGAGACUAGAGCAGGCAGAGUUUCCAGUGGAUUGACCUACCCAGGAUGUCAAAGAUCUGUUCUGCUCGGCAGCUGAGGCGGGAUCCCAUGGCAUUCUGAAGCUGUACAACCCUAAGGGCAACAUCAACAUCUCCCCGUGCCUGGAGCUCAACAGUCCUAACUCCUGUUAUAAGCUAGAGGUGGUGGCUGCUGACUGCAACAGUGAGAUGUUAGGUGUGGAGCUUGCUGUGGCACUAGGACUUGACCUCUCCUCCAUGGAGAAAAGUGAAGAAAAAGGAAAAGCAGACAACAAGUGCUCAGCAUAUGUGGGAAUUCCUUCAAGAUCAUUGGAAAAGCAUUCCAGGUGAAGCUGGUUGAGAGAAUGCCAAGAGUGUGCAAAGCUGUCAUCAAGACAGCAGGGCUUGGAGAACAAGAUCCUGUUUGAGGCUGGUGAGACUCCUGCAACAUUGUAUGAGAUAAAGAGACAGGUGGAUUCAUUCCAGAAGAAACUUGAGCCGACUGUAUCCAUCUCCCUACAACGUGUUGAACAUCUCAGCUGGCUUGGCCUGUUCAAACAGCUGUCUGAAGGAACACACAAGUCCUCUCCUUUCUACCACAAGAGAACACUGUGCAAGACCAGAGAGGAGUGUGAACAUGUACAGGGAAAGUUCCUGCA